ACUGAGUGGCGGACGGGUGAGUAACGCGUGGGUAACCUGCCUCAUACAGGGGGAUAACAGUUAGAAAUGACUGCUAAUACCGCAUAAGACCACAGUACCGCAUGGUACAGGGGUAAAAACUCCGGUGGUAUGAGAUGGACCCGCGUCUGAUUAGGUAGUUGGUGGGGUAACGGCCUACCAAGCCGACGAUCAGUAGCCGACCUGAGAGGGUGACCGGCCACAUUGGGACUGAGACACGGCCCAA
rnacentral:rRNA from 1 species